rnacentral:rRNA from 1 species
UACGAAGGGGGCUAGCGUUGCUCGGAAUCACUGGGCGUAAAGGGUGCGUAGGCGGGUCUUUAAGUCAGAGGUGAAAUCCUGGAGCUCAACUCCAGAACUGCCUUUGAUACUGAGGAUCUUGAGUUCGGGAGAGGUGAGUGGAACUGCGAGUGUAGAGGUGAAAUUCGUAGAUAUUCGGAAGAACACCAGUGGCGAAGGCGGCUCACUGGACCGGUAUUGACGCUGAGGUGCGAAAGCGUGGGGAGCAAACAGG